UCAAACAAAUCCUCUCAGCAGAUCUAGCCUCUAAUUUGAAUUUCAAAUAAUCAAAUAUUUAGAAUUCUCUUUAGAUUUCAAAUUCUGUCCAUAAAAAAUUUUAAAAAACAAGCAGAAUCCAGUUUCAAAAGAAACUUUAGAUUCAGUUCCUAGCAGAUUUCUAAUUUUGGCAUUUGAUUUACAUUUCUUAGUUCAUUUUAGUUGUUUGGAGGUUCCAGAGUUUUCCUAUUGGUUUCUAGUGGGUUUGAGUCCAAAUAGCUGGUUUACUUGAGUCAUUUUGGGUUUUUUGAUGGCUGAAGUAUUCCUGAGAGUGUCCUAAUUCUAUUUCGUGUGGAUUUUGAGUUUAAAUCGAGUCGUUUGGCUUAUUGUUGAAUGUUGUGGUGUUCCUGAGUGUUGGGAAUUGAUUUUUUGGUUCUAAACUCAUUCUUGUGGCUGCUAUCUGUUGAUUUCUGGGUACUAGCUGUGAUUAUUGCUGCUGAUUUUCUCUACUUCUUCUAUUUCACAUUACCAGGUACACUUUUCCUUGUCCUUUGAUCUGGAGGUCGACUCACAUGUACAGAACCCAAUGAAUGAAGAUUUUUCUAUGAUCAUUUGAAUUCAUGUAGAGUUGUUGAUUAACUGUUAACAUAGAGCUUAGUUAUUAACGUGUAAUGGUAGCUAGAUUUAAUGUUUGGAAUGUAUUACAUUGAAGAUUGAAAUUGAAUUGGCCGGACUGUUAAACUCUGGAUUUAAUUUCAUUUCUUCUACAUUAGAAACUGCAAUAAAAUAGCUUUGGUGAUGUUGGCUUGAGUCAGUUAUUUUUAAAGCAGUUGGUUGGUUUUAAGUUCGAG
rnacentral:lncRNA from 1 species